UGAGGAAUAUUGGUCAAUGGGCGCUAGCCUGAACCAGCCAUGUAGCGUGCAGGAUGACGGCCCUAUGGGUUGUAAACUGCUUUUAUGCGGGGAUAAAGUCACCCACGUGUGGGUGUUUGCAGGUACCGCAUGAAUAAGGACCGGCUAAUUCCGUGCCAGCAGCCGCGGUAAUACGGAAGGUCCGGGCGUUAUCCGGAUUUAUUGGGUUUAAAGGGAGUGUAGGCGGCCUGUUAAGCGUGUUGUGAAAUGUAGAUGCUCAACAUCUGAACUGCAGCGCGAACUGGCUGGCUUGAGUACAGGCAACGUGGGCGGAAUUCAUGGUGUAGCGGUGAAAUGCUUAGAUAUCAUGACGAACUCCGAUUGCGAAGGCAGCUUACGGGAGCGCAACUGACGCUAAAGCUCGAAGGUGCGGGUAGCGAACAGG
rnacentral:rRNA from 1 species